rnacentral:rRNA from 1 species
CACCGCCCGUCACAUCACGAAAGUGGGUUGCACUAGAAGUCGGUCCGCUAACCGCAAGGAAGCAGCCGCCCAAGGUGUGAUUCAUGAUUGGGGGUG